rnacentral:misc_RNA from 1 species
AAGUCGUAACAAGGUUUCCGUAGGUGAACCUGCGGAAGGAUCAUUAUUGAAUAAACCUGAUGUGGUUGUUGCUGGCUCUCUAGGGAGCAUGUGCACGCCCGUCAUCUUUAUAUUUCCACCUGUGCACCUUUUGUAGACCCAGAAGGCUUGAGAAAUCAAGUCGUUUGGGCCUAUGUCUUAUCAUAUACCCCAUAGUAUGUAUUAGAAUGUAUCAGUGGGCUUCGUGCCUAUAAACACUAUACAACUUUCAGCAACGGAUCUCUUGGCUCUC